rnacentral:tRNA from 1 species
GCAGUCGUGGCCGAGUGGUUAAGGCGAUGGUCUUGAAAAUCAUUGGUUUCUUCUCGCGUAGGUUCGAAUCCUGCCGACUGCG